UGGUGGAGCGAUUUGUCUGGUUAAUUCCGAUAACGAACGAGACUCUAGCCUAUUAAAUAGUUCGCCGAUUUUUCGAGUCGGCGUCAACUUCUUAGAGGGACAAGUGUCGUAUAGGCACUCGAGAUUGAGCAAUAACA
rnacentral:rRNA from 1 species